GUGAGCCGGCCCCUGACGUGCAGGGUGACCAUGUGCCUGGAGAAGGAAGAUCCUUUUAGAAGGAAGCUCCCCAGGACCCAGGUCCCCCGGUUCGAUGCUGACACCCCCACCUUCUGACCUCAGGAAGCUCCCCAGGACCCAGGUCCCCCGGUUCGAUGCUGACACCCCCACCUUCUGAACCCAGGAAGCUCCCCAGGACCCAGGUCCCCCGGUUCGACGUUGACACCCCCACCUUCUGACCCCAGGAAGCUCCCCAGGACCCAGGUCCCCCGGUUCGACAUUGACACCCCUACCUUCUGACCCCAGGAAACUCCCCAGGACCCAGGUCCCCCGGUUCGACGUUGACACCCCCACCUUCUGACCCCAGGAAGCUCCCCAGGACCCAGGUCCCCCGGUUCGGAGUCCUGCUUCCCCCGGAUGCAGCUCAGGAUGCCUCUGUGGGUGGUCCUGGGGCAGGAUUCCUUCCCGCCUUGUGAACGGGGUCCCGCCCAGUGUGGCCCCUGGGGUCCAGAACCCGCAGGCUGGGCCCUCCCAUGACCUGGAGGCCGUCCCAUUGCAGAGAUAGGGCCCUAGAGUUCACCUGCAACACUGCAAGCCCCAGGCCCCCCAACCUGUCCCCAGACGGGCAGGUCCGUCUUCAGAGAGCUUCUCCCUAAGUUCUCACACCGCAGAAUCCCCCCAGACCUCCCCCAAGCACAGCGUGUGGUGCCCCAGCCCUCUGCUGUGGUGACCAUUGCCUGAGGCACCGACAGUUGUGUCUGAGUGGGCCAGGCCCUAUGGGUCACUCCAGCCACCUUCGCUGCCAGGUGGGACCAACUGUGGCCAUCCCACCGCCCAGAGGAUGUUCCUGCCCCUUC
rnacentral:lncRNA from 1 species